UACGAAGUUAUUACGAGUUGGAGCACGCCUGUCGGGACCCGAAAGAUGGUGAACUAUGCCUGAGCGGGGCGAAGCCAGAGGAAACUCUGGUGGAGGCUCGAAGCGAUACUGACGUGCAAAUCGUUCGUCUGACUUGGGUAUAGGGGCGAGUGACUAAUCGAACCAUCUAGUAGCUGGUUCCCUCCGAAGUUUCCCUCAGGAUAGCUGGAGCCCAUUACGAGUUCUAUCAGGUAAAGCCAAUGAUUAGAGGCAUUGGGGACGCAACGUCCUCGACCUAUUCUCAAACUUUAAA
rnacentral:ncRNA from 1 species